ACAUAACUGAUGCCUCCGCGUAUCGACUUUGUGCGCAUUUUAGCUAUUAUGUGUUCUUUUAAUUAAAAUGAUUCUUUUUAAGAUUCAUCUAUUAAAAAUUUGCUUCGGCAUAAUUUUUUUUGAUGAUCUUGUUACUUUGAGUAAAUUAGAGUGUUCAAAGCAAACAGAUAUAGCAUUUGUGCGUUUGAAUGCUACAGCAUGGAAUAACAAAAUUGAACAAGUCAGAAUUUUUUUGUUCUUUUUUCUUAUUUUGGCUUAGUUACGAUUAAUAGGAGUAGCUUGGGGGCAUUUGUAUUCAGAUGUCAGAGGUGAAAUUCUUAGAUUUUCUGGAGACAAACAACUGCGAAAGCAUUUGCCUAAAAUACUUCCAUUAAUCAAGAACGAAAGUUAAGGGAGUGAAGACGAUCAGAUACCGUCGUAAUCUUAACCAUAAACUAUGCCGACUAGGCUUUGGAUGAAAGAUUUUAAAAUAAGAGUUUUUCUUUUCUCUCCGGAGAUUAGAACUCUUAGAUUGCUUCCUUCAGUGCCUUAUGAGAAAUCAAAGUCUUUGGGUUCUGGGGCGAGUAUUCGCGCAAGCGAGAAAGUUAAAAGAAUUGACGGAAGGGCACCACCAGGCGUGGAGCUUGCGGCUUAAUUUGACUCAACACGGGAAAACUCACUAGUUUAAGACAAGAGUAGGAUUGACAGAUUAAUAGCUCUUUCUUGAUUUCUUGGAUGGUGAUGCAUGGCCGUUUUUAGUUCGUGAAUAUGAUUUGUCUGGUUAAUUCCGAUAACGAACGAGAUCUUAACCUGCUAAUUAGCGGCAAAUACGAUAUAUUCUUAUGUAGAAUUGAAUAUAGUGGAUUUGUUGGAUUUUGAAGAAAAUAUUGGAAUUACGUUAAAUGUGAUUCCUUUCCCUUUUCUACUUAAUUUACAUUUCCAUCUAUUUCUUUUUUGCGUAUGAAUGUAUUUGCUUGAUUGUAAAGCUUCUUAGAGGAACGAUGUGUG
rnacentral:rRNA from 1 species